UACGUAGGGGGCAAGCGUUGUCCGGAAUCAUUGGGCGUAAAGAGCGUGUAGGCGGCUCGGUAAGUCCGCUCUGAAAGCCCGGGGCUCAACCCCGGGAGGCGGGCGGAUACUGUCGAGCUAGAGUCCGGAAGAGGCGAGUGGAAUUCCUGGUGUAGCGGUGAAAUGCGCAGAUAUCAGGAGGAACAGCCAAUGGCGAAGGCAGCUCGCUGGGACGGUACUGACGCUGAGAGCGCGAAAGCGUGGGAGCAAACAGG
rnacentral:rRNA from 1 species